GAUGAACGCUGGCGGCGUGCCUAAUACAUGCAAGUCGUACGGAAAGGCCCUUCGGGGUACUCGAGUGGCGGACGGCUGAGUAACGCGUGGGAACGUGCCCCAAAGUGAGGGAUAACGCACCGAAAGGUGUGCUAAUACCGCAUAUGGUCUUCGGAUUAAAGCUUCGGCGCUUUGGGAGCGGCCCGCGUACGAUUAGAUAGUUGGUGAGGUAAUGGCUCACCAAGUCGAUGAUCGUUAGCUGGUCUGAGGGGAUGAUCAGCCAGACCGGGACUGAGACACGGCCCAGACUCCUACGGGAGGCAGCAGUAAGGAAUCUUCCACAAUGGGGGCAACCCUGAUGGAGCAACGCCGCGUGCAGGAUGAAGGUUUUCGGAUCGUAAACUGCUUUUAUAAGUGAAGAAUAUGACGGUAACUUAUGAAUAAGGAUCGGCUAACUACGUGCCAGCAGCCGCCGUAA
rnacentral:rRNA from 1 species